rnacentral:lncRNA from 1 species
AAUACACUAAUAAGCCUCUAGCAGAUGAAUUAAGAGAUCUCAUUAUGUAUGGUUCAGAACUUGAAAUAAUAAUAGAUAUAGUAAGAGGACUUCAUACCUUAUGGUAAGAUACUAUUUGUUAACUCUUUUUAUAGAACCAUUUGUCAUGACAUGAAUGCAAAAUGUCAUAAAUACCUAUAUUUUGGAUAAAAAUACAACUUAAAAGACUACACCUCCGGAUUAACGGCAUCUACAACUAUAGUCAAUGCACCUCAAGACACAACACCAUCGAGGAUAGUCCAAGACAAUGCACCUCCAGACAUAAAAUUUUAGAGACAACCCAAGACAAUGCUACUCGAGAUACGGUGCCACCACCAGAGGUAACUCGAGACACAGCACCACCUAUAGCAACG